rnacentral:lncRNA from 1 species
CUCGGCUAAAAGAGACCCAUUCUCGCACAAUAGCUGACAAUAGUUACAAUUUGUUGACUCCUCGUGGGAUGUGUCGCCUGGUACAUCACGAACUUGUAUUACCUAUAUACACGGUAGCAGUGUGUGACGUCAAUCAUUUGUCGGCAGACCUCGUAAUGUCGACCGUUACCAUUUUAAUACUGCAUGCGUCUUUCUGGACAUCAUCGAAAGGACCGAUGUCCUAGGUAUCUACCUUUUGUGUAACAUUAACCAAUAUAUAGCGGAGGUCUAGGACACACACACAAAGUGCGCGUGAGCGAGAGCAGGAAUUAUUAAGCAGUUACCAAUUUCGAUUUUCCUCGUUCCUCUCAAUAUUUUUAAAAUGCUUGAUAUGAAAGUAAUAUGUUAUAAGUAACCAAACUGUAGAUUAGAAACAACAAGUAGUUUCCCAAACAUGUAGCGUUACAUGGAAAUCGGGCCCACAUCCGAUUUACUAACAGCCAUCGACCAUAACUGCAAAGAACCAACAUAUCUUCACCUGUCAAGACUACCACCUACGGCUGAUUGACAAAAGUCAAGGUAUUCAUAUUCUCUGGCGAUAAAAUAUCUGAAUACUAGAUAUAAAACAACUUGUUAUCACACGAAGACGGCUCGGAAACUUAGAAGCCAAGCACAUGGUCGUCGUUAACGCCCUGCUCUAGUCGGGUAUAUGCACUAUAUCUUGCAAGCUGUAAAGCACGCUACUCUUAAUAAAUAAUCGACACAGGUUUUAUCAGCAAUGGGACAGGCAGGGGUGGUGGUGAAGCAUACCAAGGCAUUGUGCGCCUUGGGGUUGGGGUGGGAGGUUGAGCCCGGGCCCCCAAACGUGGCCUGGGAACACAACAUUGAUAGCGACUGGAGAGGCCGACAGGUGACAAUGGCACGUCUCUUGUCUCCUGAAUACAGCCACAGACAGAUUGCUUUGUGGUUCCUGGCUGACCUCAGGCGGUGGCCAUAUUUACUUGCAUUUCGAACCUCCUGCAGUCAUCGCAUGCUUGUCCUGACAGCGAGAAACGACGGGGCAUCGAUGGCUGAGGAAGGGUGUGGGAUGGUGGUUGACAGAGGAGAGUGCACCGACGUCUCUUCCUAUCUCCUUACGAUGACAACAUUUGGCGGUCUGCAAGCUAGUCUACGGCGACUGUCCUCUCCACGGCUUCCUCCUUCUCUUUAGGGCAGCACAGAACGCCGCCUCUGUGGGAUGACGGGAAACUGCAACGAAAGCCGAGUCUGGCAGACGACAAGCGGUAUCUUGACCUCCAACGUAGACGACAUGAGACGAUGAGAUUUGGGACAACGUCUCCUGGUGCACGUUCUCCUCUGGGUGACGUCAAGGUCCGGUGAUGCUGUGACGUCACGUUCUUCUAUUCGUCCUGACGAUGAAGAGGGUUCCCAGACGAAUUACUAGGUUAUGCUUCUGUGAAGUUGGGGGAAAUCAAUGACAGUGGCCUGUCUCUGGCAGCUGUACUAACAACUAACUGAAACUCCUUACAUAAACACAUCUUUUUAAGCUUGGACAUCUCUACAUAGAAGACUCACAUCUGGCGGUCACCGUGCUCUCAAUACAAACUGGGAGAAAGACUGGGUCUUCAGGAAUGAUGCCCUGAACACAAAGGGUCAGAUGUUCUGGAAAAUUGGUACUUUGAUUGGGAAUGCUAUGGAUUAGGAAUUUGGCAGUAGUCAAGUCUGUACAUAUGUGCAAGUACAAAGCAUCUUAUAAAUGUUCUGAGACAAGAAUACCUGCUAUGACAUAGAGACAUUCCGUUGAUUUCUGGCGCACUGUCAAGUCUGGAUCAGAUAAAAGGUUCUUCAAACUGGAAGGAAUACCUAAGACAUAAAGCAC